AACAAAUUUUAAAUAGGUCUUCUAAACUUAUUCUGGGUUUAUCCCGUUUGUUU
rnacentral:tRNA from 2 species